rnacentral:rRNA from 1 species
UCGUUAACGAACGAGACCUCGACCUGCUAACUAGUACACCAUAGUCUUCGGAUUAUCGGUUUGUGCUUCUUAGAGGGACUAUCGGUGAGUAGCCGAAGGAAGCUCGAGGCAAUAACAGGUCUGUGAUGCCCUUCGAUGUCCUGGGCCGCACGCGCGCUACACUGAUGCAUUCAUCGAGUUUAUCACCUUGGCCGAGAGGCCCGGGUAAUCUUCUCAACGUGCAUCGUGCUGGGGAUCGAUUAUUGUAAUUAUUAAUCGUCAACGAGGAAUUCCUAGUAAUCGCACGUCAUCAGCGUGCAAUGAUUACGUCCCUGCCCUUUGUACACACCGCCCGUCGCUAAUACCGAUUGAAUGGAUA